rnacentral:rRNA from 1 species
UACGGAGGGGGCAAGCGUUGUCCGGAUUUAUUGGGCGUAAAGAGCGUGUAGGCGGCUAGAUAGGUCCGUUGUGAAAACUCGAGGCUCAACCUCGAGACGCCGAUGGAAACCAUCUAGCUAGAGUCCGGAAGAGGAGAAUGGAAUUCCUGGUGUAGCGGUGAAAUGCGCAGAUAUCAGGAAGAACACCCGUGGCUAAGGCGGUUCUCUAGUACGGUACUGACGCUGAGACGCGAAAGCGUGGGGAGCGAACAGG